rnacentral:rRNA from 1 species
UACGUAGGGGGCAAGCGUUGUCCGGAAUCAUUGGGCGUAAAGAGCGUGUAGGCGGCUCGGUAAGUCCGCUGUGAAAGUCCAGGGCUCAACCCUGGAAUGCCGGUGGAAACUGUCGAGCUAGAGUCCGGAAGAGGCGAGUGGAAUUCCUGGUGUAGCGGUGAAAUGCACAGAUAUCAGGAGGAACACCGGUGGCGAAGGCGGCCUUCUGGGCCGGUACUGACGCUGAGGAGCGAAAGCUAGGGGAGCGAACAGG